rnacentral:rRNA from 1 species
GACGUAGGGCGCGGGCGUUGUCCGGAUUUAUUGGGCGUAAAGAGCUCGUAGGCGGCUCAUUGCGUCAACCGUGAAAACCAGCAGCUCAACUGUUGGCUUGCGGUUGAUACGGGUGGGCUGGAGUUCGGUAGGGGAGACUGGAAUUCCUGGUGUAGCGGUGAAAUGCGCAGAUAUCAGGAGGAACACCGGUGGCGAAGGCGGCAUCCUGGACCGGCAUUGACGCUGAGGAGCGAAAGCCAGGGGAGCAAACGGG